AGUCUUGCGACCGUACUCCCAGGCGGAGUGCUUAAUGCGUUUGCUGCAGCACUAAAGGGCGGAAACCCUCUAACACUUAGCACUCAUCGUUUACGGCGUGGACUACCAGGGUAUCUAAUCCUGUUCGCUCCCCACGCUUUCGCGCCUCAGCGUCAGUUACAGACCAGAGAGUCGCCUUCGCCACUGGUGUUCCUCCACAUCUCUACGCAUUUCACCGCUACACGUGGAAUUCCACUCUCCUCUUCUGCACUCAAGUUCCCCAGUUUCCAAUGACCCUCCCCGGUUGAGCCGGGGGCUUUCACAUCAGACUUAAGAAACCGCCUGCGCGCGCUUUACGCCCAAUAAUUCCGGACAACGCUUGCCACCUACGUAUUACCGCGGCUGCUGGCACGUAGUUAGCCGUGGCUUUCUGGUUAGGUACCGUCAAGGUGCCGCCCUAUUCGAACGGUACUUGUUCUUCCCUAACAACAGAGUUUUACGAUCCGAAAACCUUCAUCACUCACGCGGCGUUGCUCCGUCAGACUUUCGUCCAUUGCGGAAGAUUCCCUACUGCUGCCUCCCGUAGGAGUCUGGGCCGUGUCUCAGUCCCAGUGUGGCCGAUCACCCUCUCAGGUCGGCUACGCAUCGUCGCCUNNNUGAGCCGUUACCUCACCAACUAGCUAAUGCGCCGCGGGUCCAUCUGUAAGUGGUAGCUAAAAGCCACCUUUUAUGAUUGAACCAUGC
rnacentral:rRNA from 1 species